UGUAUCUCAUUGUCAAAGUGAUCUUUCACUGCCUGUAUUUGUUCUCUUAUGUCUUCUUUGACAUCCCAAAAAAUUUUAAUCAUGUAUAUCCUUAAAUCUUUGUCUGUACUUUUUUCUGCUGUAGCUGUCAAUUCUUCUAAUGAUGUGUUGCGUUGAAUUUUUUGUGGUGCUUUCUUCCCUUGUCUUUUCAUGUUGCUUGCAUUUCUUUCUUUCCAGCUCUGUGGGACUGGUGUGUUAUUGUUUUUACCCUAUAGAUUUGUAGUGCUCUUGUAUGAUUCCAAGAAUCUCUCCUUUGUGGGGAAGGACAAAGUUAACAUAUCCCAAUAUCAAUAAUAUGCCACCUAUAAAUAAAUUAUUGGUAUUAAGACAUUUAUAGUUAGUCUCCAUGUCCAGAAAUGUUGGAUUCAAUUAUUAUUUAAAAUAUAAUCAGUAGUUUCAUAAAAGGUGUAUAGUUUCUGGUGGCAGACAGUGAACUGGGGGUCAUGCAUAGGAUGAUAUGCUAAGGGGGAAAGAUGUGAGGGUAUGGGGUUAAUGUAACUAAGGACAUUUGGAGGAGAACUCUAAUGAAGAGGGUUAGUAGCAGGGGAAUAGAUAGAAGGUAAUUUAGGGUAGACAAAUACAUGGGAGGACAGUAGAGUACAUAAAACCAAACACAAAUGUAUUUAAAAAUUACAGGAUGUAAAAAUAGUAAAAUUUGGAGGCUGAAAGAAGAAGAAAGAGAAGAAGAAAAAAGGGAAAGAAAGAAAGAGAAAAAAGAGAGAGAAAUUAAGGGGGGAGGUUAUACAAUUCUUCUAUAUUAUAUUAUUCAGGUGACUCAGUUUUCAAAGUUCUAUUUCAUGUAAAGUUAUUAGUUUCACAUAUGUUGGGAUUGUGAGGGCCAGAGGAUAGAAGGGUAGAGGAGAAAGAAAAAGGAUAAUAAGGAAAAAAAUAUAUACUCUUUAGAAUUUCAUUUCUUUCCUGCUUCUCUUCUCUUCCAGUAGGUGGAGUUGUCUGUUUUAAGCUUGAGUCUCUGCCCUCAGGAUGGUGUGGUAACCAGGGUGAAAAGACUUGAGCUCCUGGUAUCAUUUCCCUCUCUUGCCUGGAGCUUCCCUGAUCCUGGUCUCUGUGUUUUGCUCCAGGUUUUAGACCCCUCCCCUCUCUUGCUUAUCAGGUCUAAACUGUGGAACCUCUAACCCUCAGCUUGCACCAGAUGGGCAGUGCCCUAGUUGCACUGUGUUCCUGUUCAACUGAGAGCUGUUUUGGGGCUGGGUAGUCACUGUGCUGAGUUAUCGCAACUGGGGGGAGAGGGAGUUGGAAACCAGGUGCCUGUUCAGUCAGAGAUCUGCCCUGAUAGCCACGCCCACCAAAAAAAUGGGGAGAAAGGUUUUCCAAGAUGGAAUUCGUCUGCUUCUAGCGCCAGGGUGUCUGGUGAGUUGCGGGGAGCUGGGAUAUCCUUGUGCUGUGGCUAGAAUGCAGUCAAGUUACCUGCAUUGGAGUGGAGCACAGUCUGUAGUUCUGUAGUUCUGCAGAGGUGCUGAUUUGAUGAUUCUGCUAGGUCUCUUGAGAGGUGUGUGUUUGUGUGUGUGUGAGUGCUAGAACUGCGCUUUGGGUCUGGAGUCCAGAGUCUUAUUGGAACAAAGAGGCUCUGAUUUCUGCAAGGGUGUUUGCAAUGCUGGUGGUUUCUGCAAAAAUCCACUGUAUUGGGGUCCUGUCGCAUGCUCUGAGAUGUUGUAUUCUGUCUAGGUGAGAUCUUGUGGAAAUGCUGCCUGACUGCUUUCUUGGAUUCCUGCCACAGAGCAGCCAGAAACAGUACCUCUUCUAUUCCUCCAUCUUGCAUCCUCACAAUUAUAUAUUUUGUAUUCAUUGUCUGAGGUUCUGUUUUCCAAGUGAUCUAGUCUUUUGGUGAUGCUUUCUAUUGAUAUUUAAUUUGGUUUAUUGUUUCCUUCAUUUCAAGGACUUCUGUUUGUUUUUUACCAGAAUCUCUAUCUCUUUAUUGAAGCAAUCUUUUGCUUCCUGUAUUUGCUAACAUAGUUCUUUAUCAAAGUGAUCUUUUGUUGCCUGUUUUCUUUCUUAUCAUCCUUUACUUCACAGAACAUUUAAAUAUGUACAUCCUGAACUCCUUCUCUGACAUUUUUCUAUUAUGCUGGCAAUGAAUUCUAAUAAUGGAGUAUCUUGGUUUUUUGGGGGCACUUUAUUCCCUUGUUUUUUCAUGUUGUUUUGUGUCUUCACCUCUAGCCGUGUGGAGCCAAGGUAUUACAGUUUUUACCCUAUAGACUUAUAGUGUCUCUGCAAAUUUCCUAUACCACUUCUUUAGGGGGCAGAUCAAUAUUAACAGAUCCCAAUGCAAACAAUAUGCAGCCUUAAACCAAAUAGUUCCUAUUAAGACAUUUACAAUUUUAUCACAAUAAACAUAAAUGGUAUGUUUAAUUAUUAUCCUGUUAUAAAUAGUGGGUUUGUGAUAGGGUCUACAGUUUCUAAUGGUGGACAAAGAGAGAUGGGGUUGUUGUAGGAUGAGAUGUUAAGGAGGUGAAGAUGAGGAUAUAGAGGUAUUAGAUAUUAGGAAAUGUUGUAGGCUGCAAUCAAGUCAAGAUGGUGCCUGGCAGUUUGCCAGGAGGAGUGGUUUGUGAGGCAACGCCACUGAGCCAUCAAGAUGGUGGGGACUCCUUAUUGGCUGAUUGCUGUAUCUGUAGGGGAGCAAUGCUAUGAUUGGAUGAUGCUGAUUGAGUCAAGCUGUAUGUAAUCAGUUAGAUAUAUAUACCUCUGCUGUUCCGCAAUAAAGCAGUUCCCGCUUCAACCUUCAAGUUGCUUGUCACCUCCCAGUUAUUUUGCCCAGCUGGAAUACGGCAAGGAAACAUGAGAGAGGAAUCAAAAAGAAGUUGGCUUAUAGCAAGAGAAAAUAGAGGAAGAGACUCUGAGGAGACAGA
rnacentral:lncRNA from 1 species